AAAGUCGUAACAAGGUUUCCGUAGGUGAACCUGCGGAAGGAUCAUUACCUUUUUGCUCAAGGCACUCCCUAGGCCUAGCCUAUGGGUUUGUCCUGGCAACAAACCCUUGACCUUGCAUACCUUUUGUCCAUCCCUUGGUAGGCUUGUGCCUGCCAUGGGAUCUACAUAAAUCUUUGUAUGGUAGCCUAGAACCUUCUGAAUAAUACUAAAUUAUUACAACUUUCAACAAUGGAUCUCUUGGCUCUG
rnacentral:misc_RNA from 1 species